GAUGAACGCUAGCUACAGGCUUAACACAUGCAAGUCGAGGGGCAGCAUGGUCUUAGCUUGCUAAGGCCGAUGGCGACCGGCGCACGGGUGAGUAACACGUAUCCAACCUGCCGUCUACUCUUGGACAGCCUUCUGAAAGGAAGCUUAAUACAAGAUGGCAUCAUGAGUCCGCAUGUUCACAUGAUUAAAGGUAUUCCGGUAGACGAUGGGGAUGCGUUCCAUUAGAUAGUAGGCGGGGUAACGGCCCACCUAGUCUUCGAUGGAUAGGGGUUCUGAGAGGAAGGUCCCCCACAUUGGAACUGAGACACGGUCCAAACUCCUACGGGAGGCAGCAGUGAGGAAUAUUGGUCAAUGGGCGCAGGCCUGAACCAGCCAAGUAGCGUGAAGGAGGACUGCCCUAUGGGUUGUAAACUUCUUUUAUAAAGGAAUAAAGUCGGGUAUGUAUACCCGUUUGCAUGUACUUGAUGAAUAAGGAUCGGCUAACUCCGUG
rnacentral:rRNA from 1 species